rnacentral:rRNA from 1 species
AUUGAACGCUGGCGGCAGGCCUAGCACAUGCAAGUCGAGCGGAUGAAGGGAGCUUGCUCCUGGAUUCAGCGGCGGACGGGUGAGUAAUGCCUAGGAAUCUGCCUGGUAGUGGGGGAUAACGUCCGGAAACGGGCGCUAAUACCGCAUACGUCCUGAGGGAGAAAGUGGGGGAUCUUCGGACCUCACGCUAUCAGAUGAGCCUAGGUCGGAUUAGCUAGUUGGUGGGGUAAUGGCCUACCAAGGCGACGAUCCGUAACUGGUCUGAGAGGAUGAUCAGUCACACUGGAACUGAGACACGGUCCAGACUCCUACGGGAGGCAGCAGUGGGGAAUAUUGGACAAUGGGCGAAAGCCUGAUCCAGCCAUGCCGCGUGUGUGAAGAAGGUCUUCGGAUUGUAAAGCACUUUAAGUUGGGAGGAAGGGUAGUAAGUUAAUACCUUGCUGUUUUGACGUUACCAACAGAAUAAGCACCGGCUAACUUCGUG